rnacentral:lncRNA from 1 species
GAAUGUGGGGGCGGCUCCCAACAUGUAACCUUGACUGGACUGGAACUCACUCUGUAGACCAGGCUGGCUUCAAACUCAAAGAUCCACCUGCCCCUGCUGGGUGCUGGGACUAAAGGCCUGCACCACACGCCUGACUGGUGAAUUGUCUUCUAAUUCUAAAUCUGGUACUAAGUGCUCUAAGAAAGCUCAAGAGGCUCACUGGUGUUGUGGUGGCCCAGGGCGUCAGUAGUGCCGUGACCUCCAGCAAGCGUAUGGCCUGGCAGUGGAGACUGACUAACCCUAAGACAGGAACUGUGUUUCUUACUGGCCUGGAACUCACUACAUAGACCAGACUGGCCUGAAGAAUCAGAGAUCUGCCUGCAUGUGCCUCCAGAGGUUUCCCCUCGUUGAUGUGCUCAUAGAUCGCGUCUGCGCCCUGAUCCAAGGCACGCUCGAAGAACAGGGCGCCCACUGCGAUGGUGAGGGCGAAGGUGGAAGUUCUGCGGAACAGCAAGGAGUACAGACGCGAAGGGAUCGUCGGCAACGACAUGUUGCCUCACUGCCGAACUCGCGCCACUGCCAGAUGUAUUUCUUUAUGUUCCGGUGCCACAUGCAUGCCUGGUACCUGAGGAUGACAGAAGAGGACAUCAGGUCCCCUGGAACUUGAGUUGCAAUUGUAAGCCACCUUGUAGGUGCUGGGAAGCAAAGCUGGGUCCCCUGGAAAAGCAUCCAAUGCUCUUAACUGCUGAGCCGUUUCCCAGCCCCCUUUUAAAGGUGUUUUCUUUUGUUUAACUUGCUGUGUAGCUGAAAGUGUCCUUGAAUUCCUAGUCCCGGCGCUCCCAUCUUGGUUUCUCUCCUCCCCCUGCCAUGUCCAAAUGUGAGUAUUCUUCUUU